rnacentral:rRNA from 1 species
GAUGAACGCUGGCGGCAUGCCUAACACAUGCCAGUCGAACGGAGAUUAUUUCGGUAAUCUUAUUUGCGAACGGGUGCGUACGGCGUGGUCAACCUGCCCUCUCGAUGGGGACAACAUCCCGAAAGUUCUGCUAAUACCGAAUGUUACAGCAAUCUCGCAUGAGGAUGCUGUUUCAGAUGGCCUCUAUUUAUAAGCUAUCGCUAGAGGAUGGGCCUGCGUCUGAUUAGCUAGUUGGUGGGGUAACGGCCUACCAAGGCGAUGAUCAGUAGCCGGUCUGAGAGGAUGAACGGCCACAUUGGGACUGAGACAAGGCCCAGAAUUCUACGGGAGGCAGCAGUGGGGAAUCCUCCGCAAUGGGCGAAAGGCUGACGGAGGAAUGCCGCGUGAGGGAUGAAGGAAUUCGUUCCGUAAAGCUCUUUUGUUUAGGACGAAAGUGCAGAGUGUGAAAAAUGAUCUGUAAUGACGGUAGUAAACGAAUAAGCCACGGCUAACUACGUG